AUUUAACUCUUUCUUCAUGCCUAACACAUGCAAGUCGAGCGGAUGAAGGGAGCUUGCUCCUGGAUUCAGCGGCGGACGGGUGAGUAAUGCCUAGGAAUCUGCCUGGUAGUGGGGGAUAACGUCCGGAAACGGGCGCUAAUACCGCAUACGUCCUGAGGGAGAAAGUGGGGGAUCUUCGGACCUCACGCUAUCAGAUGAGCCUAGGUCGGAUUAGCUAGUUGGUGGGGUAAAGGCCUACCAAGGCGACGAUCCGUAACUGGUCUGAGAGGAUGAUCAGUCACACUGGAACUGAGACACGGUCCAGACUCCUACGGGAGGCAGCAGUGGGGAAUAUUGGACAAUGGGCGAAAGCCUGAUCCAGCCAUGCCGCGUGUGUGAAGAAGGUCUUCGGAUUGUAAAGCACUUUAAGUUGGGAGGAAGGGCAGUAAGUUAAUACCUUGCUGUUUUGACGUUACCAACAGAAUAAGCACCGGCUAACUUCGUG
rnacentral:rRNA from 1 species